rnacentral:rRNA from 1 species
AACGAACGCUGGCGGCGCGCCUAAUACAUGCAAGUCGAGCGAGAAGACGUAGCAAUACGUUUGUAAAGCGGCGAACGGGUGAGGAAUACAUGGGUAACCUACCCUCGAGUGGGGAAUAACUAGCCGAAAGGUUAGCUAACACCGCGUACGCUCCUUGGACUUCGGUUCAGGGAGGAAAGCGAUACCGUGGGUAUCGCGCUCUUGGAUGGGCUCAUGUCCUACCAGCUUGUUGGUGAGGUAACGGCUCACCAAGGCUUCGACGGGUAGCUGGUCUGAGAGGACGAUCAGCCACACUGGCACUGCGACACGGGCCAGACUCCUACGGGAGGCAGCAGUAAGGAAUAAUUGCGCAAUGGGCGAAAGCCUGACGCA